GCUGCGCUUUCCAGUUACCCAGGGAGCUGGCCUGGCUUCCCAUCGCCCUCUGACUUAGCUCGGGCAGAACCGAGCCCUGACACCAGCACACAACUACUCUGGGGCAUCACACGGAAAACAAAUUACUUCCCUCUGCAGCGUGCGGGGGACACUCCGCAUCCCAGGCUGGAGCUGAGCUGAUGGAGCCGCGUAUGUGGCACUUGAGCAGCGCGGCGCUGGGAAUCGAUGGCAGAUCAAUCCCGGGGCGCUGACAGCUCAGCGCGCAGCGCCGCACGAAAGCGGGACGGGGCGAGCCCCGCGCCCAGAGCGGCACGGGCGGCGCUCGGCCCCGGCAGCACCGGCCCUGCCCGAGCCGCGGCUGCUCCCGGGGGAGCCUGGGGGAAGGCACCCCAGAAAAUCAGGCAGGAUGCUGUCAUUGCCAUUGGCUGGUGCUGUGUGGAGAACCAAAUCCUCAGAUGA
rnacentral:lncRNA from 1 species